rnacentral:rRNA from 1 species
GCGAAGAACCUUACCUACCCUUGACAUCGAGAGAACUUUCCAGAGAUGGAUUGGUGCCUUMGGGARCUCUCAGACAGGUGCUGCAUGGCUGUCGUCAGCUCGUGUUGUGAAAUGUUGGGUUAAGUCCCGUAACGAGCGCAACCCUUGUCCCUAUUUGCCAGCGAUUCGGUCGGGAACUCUAGGGAGACUGCCGGUGACAAACCGGAGGAAGGUGGGGACGACGUCAAGUCAUCAUGGCCCUUACGGGUAGGGCUACACACGUGCUACAAUGGCCGGUACAAUGGGUUGCGAAUCCGCGAGGUGGAGCUAAUCCCAUAAASCCRGUCUCAGUCCGGAUCGGAGUCUGCAACU